CGACUACAUCACGUUAAAACACAAGUUCUCAUCCGGUUACCGAAUUUAAGCAACAUCGAGUCUGAUCAGUACUUAGAUGGGGGACUGCUUUGGAAUACCAAGUGCUGUAA